rnacentral:rRNA from 1 species
UAGGGAAUCUUCCACAAUGGACGCAAGUCUGAUGGAGCAACGCCGCGUGAGUGAAGAAGGUUUUCGGACCGUAAAGCUCUGUUGUUGGUGAAGAAGGAUAGAGGUAGUAACUGGCCCUUUAUUUGACGGUAAUCAACCAGAAAGUCACGGCUAACUACGUGCCAGCAGCCGCGGUAAUCGUAGGUGGCAAGCGUUGUCCGGAUUUAUUGGGCGUAAAGCGAGCGCAGGCGGAAGAAUAAGUCUGAUGUGAAAGCCCUCGGCUUAACCGAGGAAUUGCAUCGGAAACUGUUUUCUUGAGUGCAGAAGAGGAGAGUAGAACUCCAUGUGUAGCGGUGGAAUGCGUAGAUAUAUGGAAGAAUACCAGUGGCGAAGGCGGCUCUCUGGUCUGCAACUGACGCUGAGGCUCGAAAGCAUGGGUAGCGAACAGGAUUAGAUACCCUGGUAGUCCAUGCCGUAAACGAUGAGUGCUAAGUGUUGGGAGGCUUCCGCCUCUCAGUGCUGCAGCUAACGCAUUAAGCACUCCGCCUGGGGGAGUACGACCGCAAGGUUGAAACUCU